AUUGAACGCUGGCGGCAUGCUUUACACAUGCAAGUCGAACGGCAGCGGGGUAGUGCUUGCACUACUGUCCGGCGAGUGGCGAACGGGUGAGUAAUAUAUCGGAACGUACCGAGUAAUGGGGGAUAACCAAUCGAAAGAUUGGCUAAUACCGCAUACGUCCUACGGGAGAAAGCGGGGGAUCGCAAGACCUCGCGUUAUUCGAGCGGCCGAUAACUGAUUAGCUAGUUGGUGGGGUAAAGGCCUACCAAGGCGACGAUCAGUAGCGGGUCUGAGAGGACGAUCCGCCACACUGGGACUGAGACACGGCCCAGACUCCUACGGGAGGCAGCAGUGGGGAAUUUUGGACAAUGGGGGCAACCCUGAUCCAGCCAUGCCGCGUGUAUGAAGAAGGCCUUCGGGUUGUAAAGUACUUUUGUUAGGGAAGAAAAGGGAAGUGCUAAUACCACUUUUUGCUGACGGUACCUAAAGAAUAAGCACCGGCUAACUACGUGCCAGCAGCCGCGGUAAUACGUAGGGUGCGAGCGUUAAUCGGAAUUACUGGGCGUAAAGCGAGCGCAGACGGUUAUUUAAGCAGGAUGUGAAAUCCCCGGGCUUAACCUGGGAACUGCGUUCUGAACUGGAUAGCUAGAGUGUGUCAGAGGGGGGUAGAAUUCCACGUGUAGCAGUGAAAUGCGUAGAGAUGUGGAGGAAUACCGAUGGCGAAGGCAGCCCCCUGGGAUAACACUGACGUUCAUGCUCGAAAGCGUGGGUAGCAAACAGG
rnacentral:rRNA from 1 species